rnacentral:lncRNA from 1 species
GUACGAAUAAAAUUUAUAUAUAAUAAGAAAAAUUCAUAAUAUAAGUUACCAAUUACAAAUUCCAUUAUUCCAAGAUCUCAAACAAUUGUCAAAUAACAUAUGCUCUGAUAUUACAUUGAUAAGUAUGCAAAGAACUCAAUUUUUUUUCAGGAGGCAAUCAUUCCGUUUCAACUAUAAGCACCAUCAAGUGAAUAAGUGCCAACCGCCAAAUGCCAAAAAAAAAAUUUCAAUUCCCAAUUCCCACAUAAUUAAAAGACAAACAAGAAAUAUAAUAACUACCCAAAAUAUCAAGUAUAAUUAAUUAUUCCAACGACCAAUAUCUCAUUCUCGAACAAAUUCCAUUAAUUUAUUUCUGCCUUUUGCCGUCUUCAUUCUUAUUAUAACCAUUCACCGAAUAUUUAUCAUAUACAAAAUACAAUACAACAAACUAAGUAUAAUUAAUUGAAAAGAUAUUGAAAGAUUUUAAUUCGUUCCCCAUAUGAAUCUUUAGUGCAAGCACCAAGGCCAAGUUCUGUGCAACUUUCUCUGCAUUACCCCACACUUUCCACUUUCCAGUUUCCAACUUCAUAUUUAACUAUGUAAAUUCUAAUUGCUGAGAAUGAAAGAUGGAUUUGAAUGUGUAUAUGAUUGUUAACCAUGCCCAGAAAGAAACUAAAGAAAAAUAAUUUUCUUUGAUAGGAAGAAUCAAAGUUUUCAUAAAUAGUCUGUUUCAGUUCUAAUUUGCACUCUCAUUUCAAAUUAUUAAAAAGUGGUUACAGAGACGAUUAUUAAAUCUAAAAAUUUUAAUAGAAUAAAUACAUUAUAGUAUUUCAUAUUCCAAUUUUAAUACUUAAUAGAAAAUUGGUGCAAGUGGUCCCAAAACUUUGCACAAUUUUUCAUGUUCUAAGAAUCUAAAUAGUAAAUUACUUACCCUAAAACCUAACCCAAGUCCGCAGCCAGGAGGCCCAGGCGUGAGGCGAUGAAUCGCAGCAAUAUCUGAGAGUCUGUCCGGCAAUGAGUCAGCAAUCGUUGAGAGUCCGACCGGUAGGGGCAAAGUGAAGAUUUAUGAUUUUUGAUUUUUGGGAAUUCUUUGGCUUGGUUUUGCAAAGGAACGGCCUUACAGGAAUGGAAAUUUUUUGGACAUUAAUGGAUUUUACGUGAAGAACAAAUGACUCAGAAAUGGG